rnacentral:lncRNA from 1 species
GUGCACUGCUUUUAUAUCUGGAGUAGCUCUUUAGUGCUCCUUCUCUACCUAACCAAGCUUUGACUGACAGUCACUGGAGUUUUCCUCCAGAACGUGGUCAUAUCCCCUCAUACUGCUCUGAUCACCCUAACCACCUCCAUAACCACCAGUCACACUGCUCUGACCACCAUAACCACCACUCAUACUGCUCUGACCUCCAUAACCACCACUCAGCUGCUCUGACCUCCAUAACCGCCUCCACAACCACCACUCACAUUGCUCUGAUCACCAUAACCACCUCAUAACCACCACUCAGCUGCUCUGACCUCCAUAACCGCCUCGACAACCACCACUUACAUUGCUCUGAUCACCAUAACCACCUCCAUAACCACCACUCACACUGCUCUGACCUCCAUAACCACCUCCAUAACCACCACUCACACUGCUCUGACCUCCAUAACCACCUCCAUAACCACCACUCAACAGCUCUGAUCACCAUAACCGCCUCCACAACCACCACUCACAUUGCUCUGAUCACCAUAACCACCUCCAUAACCACCACUCACAUUGCUCUGAUCACCAUAACCACCUCCAUAACCACCACUCACAUUGCUCUGAUCACCAUAACCACCUCCACAACCACCACUCACAUUGCUCUGAUCACCAUAACCACCUCCACAACCACCACUCACAUUGCUCUGAUCACCAUAACCACCUCCAUAACCACCACUCACACUGCUCUGACCUCCAUAACCACCUCCACAACCACCACUCACAUUGCUCUGAUCACCAUAACCACCUCCAU